rnacentral:rRNA from 1 species
UACGGAGGGUGCAAGCGUUAAUCGGAAUUACUGGGCGUAAAGCGUGCGCAGGCGGUUUGUUAAGUCUGUUGUGAAAUCCCCGAGCUCAACUUGGGGAAUUGCAAUGGAUACUGGCAGGCUGGAGUAUGGUAGAGGAAGGUGGAAUUCCCGGGUGUAGCAGUGAAAUGCGUAGAUAUCGGGAGGAACACCAGCGGCGAAGGCGGCUUUCUGGCCGACACUGACGCUGAGGCGCGAAAGCUAGGGGAGCAAACGGG